rnacentral:rRNA from 1 species
AUUGAACGCUGGCGGCAGGCCUAACACAUGCAAGUCGAGCGAGCGGCGGACGGGUGAGUAAUGUAUGGGGACUGCCCGAUAGAGGGGGAUAACUACUGGAAACGGUGGCUAAUACCGCCUACUGUCGGAUAACCCAUAUGGUAUUAGCUAGUAGUUAAGGUACUGGCUUACCUAGGCGACGAGCCCUAGCUGGUCUGAGAGGAUGAGCAGCCACACUGUGACUGAGACACGGCCCAGACUCCUACGGAGGCAGCAGUGGGGAAUAUUGAACAAUGGGCGCAAGCCGGAUGCAGCCAUGCCGCGUGUAUGAAGAAGGCCCUAGGGUUGUAAAGUACUUUCAGUCGGGAGGCGUUACCGACAGAAGAAGCACCGGCUAACUCCGUGCCAGCAGCCGCGGUAAUUC